GUUGAACGCUGGCGGCAGGCUUAACACAUGCAAGUCGAGCGGGGUGAGGUGCUUCGGUACUGAUCCUAGCGGCGGACGGGUGAGUAAUGCUUAGGAAUCUGCCUAUUAGUGGGGGACAACAUUCCGAAAGGAAUGCUAAUACCGCAUACGCCCUACGGGGGAAAGCAGGGGAUCUUCGGACCUUGCGCUAAUAGAUGAGCCUAAGACGGAUUAGCUAGUUGGUGGGGUAAAGGCCUACCAAGGCGACGAUCUGUGGCGGGUCUGCGAGGGUGAUCCGCCACAAUGGGACUGAGACACGGCCCUGACUCCUACGGGAGGCAGCAGUGGGGAAUAUUGGACAAGGGGGGGAACCCUGAUCCAGCCAUGCCGCGUGUGUGAAGAAGGCCUUUUGGUUGUAAAGCACUUUAAGCGAGGAGGAGGCUACCGAGAUUAAUACUCUUGGAUAGUGGACGUUACUCGCAGAAUAAGCACCGGCUAACUCUGUGCCAGCCGCCGCCGUAAUAC
rnacentral:rRNA from 1 species